UACGUAGGGUGCAAGCGUUAAUCGGAAUUACUGGGCGUAAAGCGUGCGCAGGCGGCUAUGCAAGACAGAUGUGAAAUCCCCGGGCCUCAACCUGGGAACUGCAUUUGUGACUGCAUGGCUAGAGUACGGGUAGAGGGGGAUGGAAUUCCGCGUGUAGCAGUGAAAUGCGUAGAUAUGCGGAGGAACACCGAUGGCGAAGGCAAUCCCCUGGACCUGUACUGACGCUCAUGCACGAAAGCGUGGGGAGCAAACAGG
rnacentral:rRNA from 1 species